CCCUUGCUGUUUCACAGCUUUAUGUUCCCUAUAUAACACUCUUAUCUUGAACUCUCUUAAUGAUAACUCCACUGGAGAGGAUCAUUCAGUUUCAAACAAUGGCAAGCUUCAACUUUGUGUACUUUCUUUCUUUUGUAUUCUCUUUGUUCAUCUCCACUGGAUGUGUUAUAGCAUCACAUCCAGUGGUCAAAGCUGGUUAUUACCCUUCAUGGGCAUUAGAUAAUCUCCCACCUUCAGCUAUAAACACAUCAUAUUUCACUCACAUCAUCUAUUCUUUUCUUGUGCCUAGCAACGUUACCUUCAAGUUCAACAUAUCAAGUUCAGAAGCUAAGAACCUCUCAAAUUUCGCCACCACACUUCAUCACAAAAACCCACCUGUGAAGGCUCUUUACUCCAUCGGUGGAGGAGGUGUUGAUCCAGACCGUUUUGGUCGCAUGGCAUCUAAUAUUUAACAACGUCAAAUCUUCAUAAAUGCUACUAUUGAUGUUGCACGUAAAUAUGGGUUUGAUGGGUUUGACUUGGACUGGGAAUUCCCUGAAAGUUCGAAGGAAAUGAAUUAUUUUGCCCAAUUACUAAAAGAGUGGCGCUAUGCAAUCGAAAACGAGGCUAGGAUCACACAUAGGCCCCCUCUACUGCUCACCGCCGCCGUGUACUACUCGGCAGACUUCCUUGUAUACGGCGACCGCCGCUCCUAUCCGGCGGCUGCGAUUAAGAACUACAUGGAUUGGGUCAAUGUGAUGUGUUAUGACUAUCAUGGGUCAUGGAACACUUCUGCAACUGGGGCCCAUGCUGCAUUGUUUGACCCAAACACUAAUUUGAGCUCAAUAUAUGGGCUUAAGUCUUGGAUCAGGGCUGGAGUACCUGGAAACAAGAUAGUCAUGGGCUUGCCACUCUAUGGAAAAUCAUGGAAGCUCAAAGACCCCAAAUUGCAUGGAGUAGGAGCACCAGCAGUUGGUGUGGGCCCAGGAGAUGAUGGUGUGCUUCUUUACUCUGAGGUGGUGGAGUUUAAUAAGAAGAAUGAUGCCACUAUAGCAUAUGAUGUGAAUACUGUAUCUACUUAUUCUUAUGUUGGGUCAUUGUGGGUUGGGUAUGAUGAUGCUCUGUCUACAACAGUGAAGGUUGGGUUUGCUCAGGCGCUUGGGCUUCGUGGGUAUUUCUUUUGGGCCAUCAGCUAUGAUACUGAAUGGAAAGUCACAGCACAAGCAUCGAGGGCAUGGAUCCAAGAUUAAUGAGAAUGAAGUUUCCUUAUCUUCCCUGAUGUGAGCUCUGAUCAGGAGAUUUCAACUAUCUGUUGGAGAUCAAGUACCAUAUUCUACGUGUUUUAUAGUAAAACCAUCUAUUCGAGUGUAAUCGGUUAUAAUUUUAGAAGAUAUAAUAUGCAUCAAUAGGCAUGUGUGCAAACGUGUAAGAGAGAGGUUGUUUGUUGUGACAAAAUUAAACUCAAUGCAUAUCUACUGUCAAAUUUUAAUUUCA